rnacentral:rRNA from 1 species
UACGAAGGGGGCUAGCGUUGCUCGGAAUCACUGGGCGUAAAGCGCACGUAGGCGGAUUGUUAAGUCAGGGGUGAAAUCCUGGAGCUCAACUCCAGAACUGCCUUUGAUACUGGCGAUCUUGAGUCCGGGAGAGGUGAGUGGAACUGCGCGUGUAGAGGUGAAAUUCGUAGAUAUUCGCAAGAACACCAGUGGCGAAGGCGGCUCACUGGCCCGGUACUGACGCUGAGGUGCGAAAGCGUGGGGAGCGAACAGG